AUGAGUUGCCUCAGCUGGAACUGCCGGGGACUAGCCAACGCCCCGACAGUUCAAGAGCUACGAGAAAUCGUUUUAAAGUUUUCCCCUAGAGUACUUUGUAUUGUUGAAACACAGAUUGGCCAAGUUAGAGAUGAAAAUCUAUCAAGUACUUUAGGUUUUGAUUCAUCAUUUUUUGUUGGUUCCACCGGUAGAAGUGGUGGUUUA
rnacentral:rRNA from 1 species